rnacentral:rRNA from 1 species
GAGCUCAAAUUUAUAAUCUGGCACCUUCGGUGUCCGAGUUGUAAUCUCUAGAAAUGUUUUCCGCGUUGGACCGCACACAAGUCUGUUGGAAUACAGCGGCAUAGUGGUGAGACCCCCGUAUAUGGUGCGGACGCCCAGCGCUUUGUGAUACAUUUUCGAAGAGUCGAGUUGUUUGGGAAUGCAGCUCAAAUUGGGUGGUAAAUUCCAUCUAAAGCUAAAUAUUGGCGAGAGACCGAUAGCGAACAAGUACCGUGAGGGAAAGAUGAAAAGCACUUUGGAAAGAGAGUUAACAGUACGUGAAAUUGUUGGAAGGGAAACGCUUGAAGUCAGACUUGCUUGCUGAGCAAUCGGUUUGCAGGCCAGCAUCAGUUUUCCGGGAUGGAUAAUGGUAGAGAGAAGGUAGCAGUUUCGGCUGUGUUAUAGCUCUCUGCUGGAUACAUCUUGGGGGACUGAGGAACGCAGUGUGCCUUUGGCGGGGGUUUCGACCUCUUCACACUUAGGAUGCUGGUGGAAUGGCUUUAAACGACCCGUCUUG